UGGCUCAGGAUGAACGCUAGCUACAGGCUUAACACAUGCAAGUCGAGGGGCAUCAGGAUGUAGCAAUACAUUGCUGGCGACCGGCGCACGGGUGAGUAACACGUAUCCAACCUGCCUUUUACUCGGGGAUAGGCUUUCGAAAGAAAGAUUAAUACCCGAUGGCAUAAUAUUUCCGCAUGGGAUUAUUAUUAAAGAAUUUCGGUAAAAGAUGGGGAUGCGUUCCAUUAGGCAGUUGGCGGGGUAACGGCCCACCAAACCUUCGAUGGAUAGGGGUUCUGAGAGGAAGGUCCCCCACAUUGGAACUGAGACACGGUCCAAACUCCUACGGGAGGCAGCAGUGAGGAAUAUUGGUCAAUGGGCGAGAGCCUGAACCAGCCAAGUAGCGUGAAGGAUGACUGCCCUAUGGGUUGUAAACUUCUUUUAUAAAGGAAUAAAGUCGGGUAUGGAUACCCGUUUGCAUGUACUUUAUGAAUAAGGAUCGGCUAACUCCGUGCCAGCAGCCGCGGUAAUACGGAGGAUCCGAGCGUUAUCCGGAUUUAUUGGGUUUAAAGGGAGCGUAGAUGGAUGUUUAAGUCAGUUGUGAAAGUUUGCGGCUCAACCGUAAAAUUGCAGUUGAUACUGGAUAUCUUGAGUGCAGUUGAGGCAGGCGGAAUUCGUGGUGUAGCGGUGAAAUGCUUAGAUAUCACGAAGAACUCCGAUUGCGAAGGCAGCCUGCUAAGCUGCAACUGACAUUGAGGCUCGAAAGUGUGGGUAUCAAACAGGAUUAGAUACCCUGGUAGUCCACACGGUAAACGAUGAAUACUCGCUGUUUGCGAUAUACAGCAAGCGGCCAAGCGAAAGCGUUAAGUAUUCCACCUGGGGAGUACGCCGGCAACGGUGAAACUCAAAGGAAUUGACGGGGGCCCGCACAAGCGGAGGAACAUGUGGUUUAAUUCGAUGAUACGCGAGGAACCUUACCCGGGCUUAAAUUGCAUUUGAAUGUUGGGGAAACCCAACAGCCGUAAGGCAAAUGUGAAGGUGCUGCAUGGUUGUCGUCAGCUCGUGCCGUGAGGUGUCGGCUUAAGUGCCAUAACGAGCGCAACCCUUAUCUUUAGUUACUAACAGGUUAUGCUGAGGACUCUAGAGAGACUGCCGUCGUAAGAUGUGAGGAAGGUGGGGAUGACGUCAAAUCAGCACGGCCCUUACGUCCGGGGCUACACACGUGUUACAAUGGGGGGUACAGAAGGCAGCUACCUGGUGACAGGAUGCUAACCCCAAAAGCCUCUCUCAGUUCGGAUCGAAGUCUGCAACCCGACUUCGUGAAGCUGGAUUCGCUAGUAAUCGCGCAUCAGCCACGGCGCGGUGAAUACGUUCCCGGGCCUUGUACACACCGCCCGUCAAGCCAUGGGAGCCGGGGGUACCUGAAGUACGUAACCGCAAGGAGCGUCCUAGGGUAAAACUGGUGA
rnacentral:rRNA from 1 species